rnacentral:rRNA from 1 species
CCAAUAGCGUAUAUUAAAGUUGUUGCAGUUAAAAAGCUCGUAGUUGAAUUUCGGGAUCAGAUUGUCGGUCGUGCCUCGGUACGCACUGGCAUUAUUGGUUCCUACCUUCUGAAGAACCGCGAUGUCAUUAAUUUGGUGUCGCGGGGAAUCAGGACUGUUACUUUGAAAAAAUUAGAGUGUUUAAAGCAGGCGCACGCUUGAAUACAUUAGCAUGGAAUAAUGAAAUAGGACGUUUGAUUCUAUUUUGUUGGUUUCUAGGAUCGACGUAAUGAUUAAUAGGGAUAGUUGGGGGCAUUAGUAUUCAAUUGUCAGAGGUGAAAUUCUUGGAUUUAUUGAAGACUAACUACUGCGAAAGCAUUUGCCAAGGAUGUUUUCAUUAAUCAAGAACGAAAGUUAGGGGAUCGAAGACGAUCAGAUACCGUCGUAGUCUUAACCAUAAACUAUGCCGACUAGGGAUCGGAUGAUGUUAAUUUUUUAAUGACUCAUUCGGCGCCUUACG